UUCGCCCUUAGAGUUUGAUCCUGGCUCAGGACGAACGCUGGCGGCGCGCCUAACACAUGCAAGUCGAACGAGCGAGAGAGAGCUUGCUUUCUCGAGCGAGUGGCGAACGGGUGAGUAACGCGUGAGGAACCUGCCUCAAAGAGGGGGACAACAGUUGGAAACGACUGCUAAUACCGCAUAAGCCCACGGUGCCGCAUGGCACAGAGGGAAAAGGAGUAAUCCGCUUUGAGAUGGCCUCGCGUCCGAUUAGCUAGUUGGUGAGGUAAUGGCCCACCAAGGCGACGAUCGGUAGCCGGACUGAGAGGUUGAACGGCCACAUUGGGACUGAGACACGGCCCAGACUCCUACGGGAGGCAGCAGUGGGGAAUAUUGCACAAUGGGGGAAACCCUGAUGCAGCGACGCCGCGUGGAGGAAGAGGGUCUUCGGAUUGUAAACUCCUGUUGUUGGGGAAGAUAAUGACGGUACCCAACAAGGAAGUGACGGCUAACUACGUGCCAGCAGCCGCGGUAAAACGUAGGUCACAAGCGUUGUCCGGAAUUACUGGGUGUAAAGGGAGCGCAGGCGGGAAGACAAGUUGGAAGUGAAAUCUAUGGGCUCAACCCAUAAACUGCUUUCAAAACUGUUUUUCUUGAGUAGUGCAGAGGUAGGCGGAAUUCCCGGUGUAGCGGUGGAAUGCGUAGAUAUCGGGAGGAACACCAGUGGCGAAGGCGGCCUACUGGGCACCAACUGACGCUGAGGCUCGAAAGUGUGGGUAGCAAACAGGAUUAGACACCCUGGUAGUCCACACCGUAAACGAUGAUUAUUAGGUGUGGGAGGGAUUGACCCUUUCAGUCCCGCAGUUAACACAAUAAGUAAUCCACCUGGGGAGUACGACCGCAAGGUUGAAACUCAAAGGAAUUGACGGGGGCCCGCACAAGCAGUGGAGUAUGUGGUUUAAUUCGACGCAACGCGAAGAACCUUACCAAGUCUUGACAUCCCUUGACAGGCAUAGAAGUAUGUUUUCUCUUCGGAGCAAGGAGACAGGUGGUGCAUGGUUGUCGUCAGCUCGUGUCGUGAGAUGUUGGGUUAAGUCCCGCAACGAGCGCAACCCUUAUGGUCAGUUACUACGCAAGAGGACUCUGGCCAGACUGCCGUUGACAAAACGGAGGAAGGUGGGGAUGACGUCAAAUCAUCAUGCCCUUUAUGACUUGGGCUACACACGUACUACAAUGGCGUUAAACAAAGAGAAGCAAGACCGCGAGGUGGAGCAAAACUCAGAAACAACGUCCCAGUUCGGACUGCAGGCUGCAACUCGCCUGCACGAAGUCGGAAUUGCUAGUAAUCGUGGAUCAGCAUGCCACGGUGAAUACGUUCCCGGGCCUUGCACUCACACGCCCGUCA
rnacentral:rRNA from 1 species